rnacentral:lncRNA from 1 species
GGUUAACAGAAGUGUCUUACAUGUCUGCAGUCAUGGACAUAUAUCUUAAUUAUACGUUCUUAAACUAUAAAUAUGAAUGUUUUUAAAAACACUGAAUCAUGUUGCUGGUUCAAUUUUAAACACUAAAUUAAUUGAAGUACGAAGGCAGCAGAUUUAAAACAUUAUAUUGGAAUAUGGUUUUAAUGUAAUGGAGUAUGGAGAGCUGCGUGUCGCCAGCAAAGAAGAGGGAGUCACAGGUGCCAGUCAUCAGUCGCCUAUCAGUCGCCAAUCAGUCGCCAAUCGGUCGCUAAUCUGAAGACACACCUGCUCCUUUUCCCUUACCCAAUCUCAUCCCCUUUCCCUUGGUUUAAAAGAAGCCCAAUCAGUUGUCUCUGGAGAUCUCUCUUUUGUUUUUUGCACCUACAUCUCACUUUGUCUGUUAUUCUGUGAGUAUUGUAUUGUUGUGGUGUAUGACUGUUUGUUGGUGGGAAAAGGGGAAACCAAAGCAAGUCGCCCAUGGGCAUACAUUACCCGUAGGAAAACUGUGUCUAAAUACCCUAGUUAGAACUGGGUGGACCACCAACUGUAUUUUACUGGUUAGUUAGCUAGCUGUUCUUUACCAAGUAAGACUAGGCUAGGGCUUUUUGGAAAUUUAUUAUUUAUUUCCUUGGGUCCAGCUCAGCCCCUUUUUCCCACACCCCCAUUACCGUGUGUUUAACAAUAAACCUUAAGUGUUUGACGGUAGAUUUAGGUUGUCUGUUGUUUUUAGUUCUCACUGUUCCUUUUCACUGUUAUGAUUUGCAUGAGAUAUGUUACUGGUCUUGUUUCCAUCCCCCCUAGACUGCAGGGCAAAAGGGGUUCGUAACACAUGUUGUCAUGUUGUGUUGCUACAAUGCUGUGUUAUGUUUUGCUGCUGUCACGUCCUGACCAGUUAAGGGUUAUGUGUUGUUGUAGUUUGGUCAGGAUGUGGCAGAGGGUAUUUGUUUUAUAUGGUUCGGGGUGGUGGUGUAGGUUGUCUUAUUUAUGUAUUCCGGGGGUUUUGGGCACUGCUCUGUUUAUGUAUUUCUAGGUUUAGUUAGUUAGGUGGGUAUAGGUUCUAGGUUUGUUUUCUAUGUAGAGUGAAUUGGGAUUGGACUCCCAAUUGAAGGCAGGUGUGUUGAGUUGCCUUUGAUUGGGAGUCCUAUAUUAGUAGGGUGUGUUUGUCUGUGUUUGUGGGCAAUUGUUUUUGCACUGCGUUUGUAUAGCCUGCAAAACUGUUGCACUGUCAUUGUUUCUUGUUUUGUAUAGUGUUCACGUUAUUGAUUAAUUAAAUUCAAACAUGAACGCGACCUCCGCUGCGUAUUGGUCUACUUUGUCAGAUGAGGACUUCUCUUUCUUCUGAAGACGAAGACAAUUGUGACAGCUGCCUUGUUAUGUUGUCUUAGGUCUCUCUUGUUGUGAUGUGUUUUGUCCUAUAUUUAUAUUGUAUUUCUUUUGUAUAAUCCCAGGCCCGGUCCCCGCAGGAGGCCUUUUGCCUUUUGGUAGGCUGUCAUUGUAAAUAAGAAUUUGUUCUUAACUUGCCUAGUUAAGAGGGGUGUGUUUUCAUUGGGAUUUGUGGGUAGUUGUUUCUCUGUAUAGUCAUUUUGUCCUUACGAGACUGUUUUUCUUCGUUGUUUUUUGUAUUAAGUGUUUUCUUAUUUUGUGUUCAC